CCCAGAUCACCGAAGCAGCAGGAUGUGAGCUGCCCCACUGAAAAAGCAAUCUGCCUUCUCUGCCUCCUCAAGGAACAGAUGUCUGAGGUCUCCAGGAUGGCAACUAACUGACUGCUUCUUCACCCAUACCACCUGCUGAGUGUAAGCCGAUGGACUCCCAACUCCCCUGUUCCUGUGUUGUUCCAGGCCCACAGGAAGUAGCCAGGCCUGAACCACCACCCAUAUACCCAAAAAGUCUGGGGAUAUCUAAAUGGAAGCUCUCCCAGAGAUGCUCAAGACCAUACCCACAAGAUAUGAUGAGUGUCAGAGGCCCAGCACUCAACAACCACAAUAAGGAGAUGGAACACAUUUCCCCAGGUUGGGGGAUCUGAAGGCCAAGUUCACAGUCUUAAUUCUACUGGCUACUCUGGAAAGAACUGGAACACAGGAAAUGAAGGAGGAAGGGAUCACUGCUCCAAGCCAUCAAAUUCCUAGAAUACAGUAGUGGGCCCCUGUGUAAAUAAAGGUUUUUCUGGGUGGGGGAGGUUAAGACAUUUGCACAAAAGUCUGACCAAGUGUGAGAAAUAAAAAGAUUUGAAUUCCUAAACACAAUAUUCAUAGUAUUUGAUAGAAA